rfam:Aedes aegypti strain Liverpool supercont1.4 genomic scaffold, whole genome shotgun sequence.
CAAUAGGCCCUUUUCAGGGCCAAUAAAUGUGUCCUUAAGAGUUAUUU